UACGGAGGAUCCAAGCGUUAUCCGGAUUCAUUGGGUUUAAAGGGCGCGUAGGCGGCCACGUAAGUCAGAUGUGAAAUCCCAGGGCUUAACCCUGGAAGUGCAUCUGAUACUGCGCGGCUUGAGUCACGGAGAGGGUGGUGGAAUUCCCAGUGUAGAGGUGAAAUUCGUAGAUAUUGGGAGGAACACCGGUGGCGAAGGCGACCACCUGGACGAUGACUGACGCUGAGGCGCGAAAGCGUGGGGAGCAAACAGG
rnacentral:rRNA from 1 species